rnacentral:rRNA from 1 species
UCAUUAGCAAAUCCUCUUAAAAGAACCUUAUCUCCUCUGAUCUUGGAUGCUAAGCAGGGUUGGGCCUGGUUAGUACUUGUAUGGGAGCAGUCUUAUAUAUAGGCUUACAGCACAGUGGAAAAACCCCAGGUGGAUGAG